rnacentral:lncRNA from 1 species
UGCUGGCAAAACUGUAUUUCUAUACUCAUCUGAAGACGAUACCAAAAGAUAACAGAAAGGAAAAGUCUGGUUCAAAUUCUGCCACCAGAAAAAAAUAUUUUGGAUAGAGGUUGAUGCUAUGAAAGAAAAUCACUGUGAGUGUAUGGUGACCUCUGCAAGAACAAUCCGAUGAGUGAAAUUCAUUUUAAAGUCUCAAGCACCUUUCAUGAAGACUAACAAAUGAAUAACUUGGACUAGGUUUCCUCUAGCAAAAUAACCUCUCAUCCUAAUUAUUCUUUUAAUUGUGUCCAUGUAUACUUUGGUAACUGGGGCCUGAGCGAACUGCUCAGCCUGUGACUGUCUUAUCACUCACCAU